GGCAGCUUGGUGUAGUGGUUUGAGCACUGGAUUGUAACUCUGGAGAUCAGGGUUUGAUUCCCUGCUUGGCCA
rnacentral:tRNA from 1 species